GGAAUAUUGCACAAUGGGCGAAAGCCUGAUGCAGCAACGCCGCGUGGGGGAUGACGGCCUUCGGGUUGUAAACCUCUUUUAGUAGGGAAGAAGGACUUCGGUUUGACGGUACCUGCAGAAAAAGCACCGGCUAACUACGUGCCAGCAGCCGCGGUAAUACGUAGGGUGCAAGCGUUGUCCGGAAUUAUUGGGCGUAAAGAGCUCGUAGGCGGUUUGUCGCGUCUGCUGUGAAAACCCGAGGCUCAACCUCGGGCCUGCAGUGGGUACGGGCAGGCUAGAGUGCGGUAGGGGAGAAUGGAAUUCCUGGUGUAGCGGUGGAAUGCGCAGAUAUCAGGAGGAACACCGAUGGCGAAGGCAGUUCUCUGGGCCGUUACUGACGCUGAGGAGCGAAAGCGUGGGGAGCGAACAGGAUUAGAUACCCUUG
rnacentral:rRNA from 1 species